UACGUAGGGUGCAAGCGUUAAUCGGAAUUACUGGGCGUAAAGCGUGCGCAGGCGGUUUUGUAAGACUGUCGUGAAAUCCCCGGGCUCAACCUGGGAAUGGCGAUGGUGACUGCAAGGCUAGAGUUUGGCAGAGGGGGGUAGAAUUCCACGUGUAGCAGUGAAAUGCGUAGAUAUGUGGAGGAACACCGAUGGCGAAGGCAGCCCCCCUGGGUCAAAAACUGACGCUCAUGCACGAAAGCGUGGGGAGCAAACAGG
rnacentral:rRNA from 1 species